CUCAGGUUUAACGUUGGCGGCGCGCAUAACACAUGCAAGUCGAACGAUCUGGCCAUUUGAAGUUUCUGUAGCAAUACAGGGGCGGAUGAUGAUCACCAGAAAGUGGCAGACGGGUGAGUACUACGUUGGGAUUUACCUCGAAGUGGGGAAUACCUCGCCGAAAGGCGAGCUAAUACCGCAUAUGGUCUCCAGGCAAUUCGUCUGGUGUACUAAAGCCGCAAGGCGCUACGAGAGAACCCUACGACCUAUCAGCUUGUUGGUGGGGUAAAAGCCUACCAAGGCAAUGACGGGUAGCUGGUCUGAGAGGACGGCCAGCCACACUGGGACUGCGACACGGCCCAGACUCCUACGGGAGGCAGCAGUGAGGAAUUUUCCACAAUGGACGAAAGUCUGAUGGAGCGACGCCGCGUGAAGGAUGACGGCCCUCGGGUUGUAAACUUCUUUUCUUCGGGAACAAUCAAUUGAGCGUACCGAUGGAAUCAGCCACGGCUAAUCUCGUGCCAGCAGCCGCGGUAAGACGAGAGUGGCGAACGUUAACCGGAAUUACUGGGCGUAAAGCGUCCGCAGGGGGAUGUUCACGUCGGGUGUCAAAGCCCAGUGCUCAACACUGGGUUCGCGCUCGAUACGGAGCAUCUAGAGGAUUGAAGGGGCACACGGAAUUCCAGGAGUAGGGGUAAAAUCCGUAGAUACCUGGAGGAACGCCAAUAGCGAAGGCAGUGUGCUGGGCAAUACCUGACCCUCAGGGACGAAAGCGUGGGGAGCAAACGGGAUUAGAUACCCCGGUAGUCCACGCCCUAAACGAUGGGUACUAGAUGUGUGCGGUCUCGACCCCGCACGCGUCGCAGCUAACGCGUUAAGUACCCCGCCUGGGAAG
rnacentral:rRNA from 1 species